UACGUAGGGGGCAAGCGUUGUCCGGAUUUAUUGGGCGUAAAGAGCUCGUAGGCGGUUGGGUAAGUCGGGUGUGAAAACUCAGGGCUCAACUCUGAGACGCCACUCGAUACUGCCCUGACUCGAGUCCGGUAGGGGAGCGUGGAAUUCCCGGUGUAGCGGUGAAAUGCGCAGAUAUCGGGAGGAACACCAGUGGCGAAGGCGGCGCUCUGGGCCGGAACUGACGCUGAGGAGCGAAAGCGUGGGUAGCAAACAGG
rnacentral:rRNA from 1 species